rnacentral:rRNA from 1 species
GCAGUCGCCGCGGGAAUACAGAGGGUGCGAGCGUUAAUCGGAUUUACUGGGCGUAAAGCGUGCGUAGGCGGCUUCUUAAGUCGGAUGUGAAAUCCCUGAGCUUAACUUAGGAAUUGCAUUCGAUACUGGGAAGCUAGAGUAUGGGAGAGGAUGGUAGAAUUCCAGGUGUAGCGGUGAAAUGCGUAGAGAUCUGGAGGAAUACCGAUGGCGAAGGCAGCCAUCUGGCCUAAUACUGACGCUGAGGUACGAAAGCAUGGGGAGCAAACAGGAUUAGAUACCCGGGUAGUCCCUGUCUCUUAUAC